rnacentral:lncRNA from 1 species
CACUCAUGAGGUGCUGUUGUUGUUCCAAUCCUCGUGCGUAGAUAGAAGUCACUCUUCAAAUUCAGUCUCCAGGCGUGUGGGUCCCGGAACGCGUGCAACCGUCUUUUCCACGGUGCGGGUGUGUAUACAGGGAACUGGUAAGGAACUUCACUCCUGAUCUUGUUCGUCCUUAUUCAUAUAGACUUGUACCUUGCUGCACAGGCAGAAAAAGCAGAUCGGAGAGGGGUGAUGUGACCGUUCUGGGAACUCAAGAACAAACGCACUUUAGGGAGAUCAUGAAAACUAACAGUCCCUUCGAUCUGUCAACGCUUGUGCUCUCUGUUCGCCACAGCGUCGAUUUGACUCUAGGUCCCUGCCCAUCUCUGGUGCCAUCGCUCUAGUGAUUUAAAACGGAGGCUAUUCCACGAAGACUCAAGAAUCGUUUUUGGCCUCUAAGGUGUGACCAGCUCGGGCUCGCCGGUUUUCGCUACCUACUUUCUCUCACGACUGUACUCCGUUCUUGUCGGCCGUGUCGAAACUAGCCGCAGGUUAUGCACAGCGAAAAACAUGCAACGACACAACUGUGAAAAUG